rnacentral:rRNA from 1 species
GACGAACCGUGCGAACGUUGUUCGGAAUCACUGGGCUUAAAGGGCGCGUAGGCGGGCGAGCAAGUCCGGGGUGAAAGCCUCCGGCUUAACCGGAGAAGGGCCUUGGAUACUGCUCGUCUUGAGGGAGGUAGGGGCUUGUGGAACUUCCGGUGGAGCGGUGAAAUGCGUUGAUAUCGGAAGGAACUCCGGCGGCGAAAGCGAUGCACUGGCUGAUUUCUGACGCUGAGGUGCGAAAGCCAGGGGAGCAAACGGG